GAAGGAAUCGAAUCUAAGAAGGCUGUGUCCCCUGAUAAACUCGCCCAAUUGUGGACCGUUGAUCCCAAACGAGCCAAGAGCACAAACUGCGACAAGGCUCGCCGACUCACAGCCGUUAAACUCCGACAGAGCGCCGCCGUUCACCUCCGUCAGAGAACACAAAGCCAUUGCACUUCUCUAUAUCUAUCUCCCUCUUCCUCAAUGAAAAGGUUACGAGGACGUGGAUAGUAUCUAUGCAUCUAAUGAAGACUUUAAGAACAUGAAAGAGAAAGAAAGGGUUAGAGGGACUCAUCUGCUGGAAUACUUUGUCAGUAGGUGUAAUGAAAUUGGGGUGUCCUGUCAAGCAUGGAUUAGGCAGGGCGACCCCAAAGAUGUGAUAUUGAAUGAGGUGAAACGGCUACGUCCAGAUUUACUAGUUGUGGGAAGCAGAGGUCUUGGACCUUUCCAAAAGUAUGUGCUUGGUCUC